CACCUUUAACCAGUGAGGCAAUCUCUUUUUAGGUCAUCAUUGGUACACAGACAGUUCUGGCUAAUGGAGGGCUGAGGGCCGUCAAUGGGACACACACUCUAGCCCUCGCAGCCAAGCACCACUCAACACCCCUGAUUGUUUGUGCUCCCAUGUUCAAGCUCUCGCCUCAGUUCCCAAAUGAAGAGGAUACCUUCCAUAAAUUUGUCUCCCCACAUGAGGUUCUUCCUUUCACUGAAGGUGAAAUCCUCUCAAAGGUGAAUGUGCACUGUCCAGUGUUCGACUAUGUCCCACCCGAGCUCAUCACACUGUUCAUCUCUAACAUUGGAGGACAUGCACCAUCAUACAUCUACUGACUGAUGAGCGAACUUUACCACCCAGAAGACCACGAACUUUAAUCAAUGUAAUUAACAAAUCACUUAAAUAAAAUGGUUGUUACAGUGUCA